rnacentral:rRNA from 1 species
GUAGGGGGCAAGCGUUAUCCGGAUUUACUGGGUGUAAAGGGAGCGUAGGCGGCCAUGCAAGUCAGAAGUGAAAGCCCGGGGCUCAACCCCGGGACUGCUUUUGAAACUGUAAGGCUAGAUUGCCGGAGAGGUAAGCGGAAUUCCUAGUGUAGCGGUGAAAUGCGUAGAUAUUAGGAGGAACACCAGUGGCGAAGGCGGCUUACUGGACGGUGAAUGACGCUGAGGCUCGAAAGCGUGGGGAGCAAACAGGAUUAGAUACCCUGGUAGUCCACGCUGUAAACGAUGAAUACUAGGUGUUGGGGUCCAAAAGGACUUCGGUGCCGCAGCAAACGCAAUAAGUAUUCCACCUGGGGAGUACGUUCGCAAGAAUGAAACUCA